CCAAGGCUAAAUACGGGCGA
rnacentral:snRNA from 1 species